rnacentral:lncRNA from 1 species
CCAAAUCUACAGAAAAACUAACAAUUCCAGCUUCUUGUGUUAGAACAAAUCAGGGUUUUAGAUAAGAAAAGCCAGGGCUGAGAGUGGGCAGAAUGAGAACAGCGGUGGUGCCUGGGCUGCUCUCAGGUUUCCUGUGAGAAAUCCCAGUGGAGACGGCACUGCUGGCUGAGUAAAUGAGUCACAGGCCUCACAGGCCAAGGGAGAAGAAAAGCAGAUUCCAGGAAGUAAGCAAGGAGGAAUCUCAGGGAAAGUUUUCCAUUUUAGUGUGAAGCUGUCAACCCACUGAGCUAUGCUGGAAACUUCCAGAAAAAAAUAGCACUAAGGAAGAUUAGAGAAAGCAUGUGAAUCCUGGCAGCUCAGUCGAGCAGGACUCUGGACAUCAGUGACAGGCAGCAAAGAUGGCACCAUCCAGAGAAGGGAGCCCCGCGCGAACUCAUUCCAUGAUGUCCCUGUCGGUGCGGCCG